CCUCAGAGCCGGAGGGCGGGGGCUGCCGCCCAGCGAGGCCCACGGCGCCCGCGGGUGAGGAGAGGCCGAGACCCCUCCCUGCCGGUAAAUCCCGCUGCUUGCCCCGCGGAGACCUGAAAUACCGUCUCCCGGAGAGGCGGUCUGACGCCGUGCAGCCUCCCGGAGUUGCUCUCGGGUCAGGAAAUGCCCGGAGGCGUGGAGCGCCGGCCGCCUCCGCCGUGACUGACGCCCGGACUUGGCCCGUGAGGAAGAGAAAAUCUUACUGGAGAAAACCAUGCCAAGCCUGAGAACAUUGAGUACCCAAGGCCAAGCUCAACAAGGGCAGAUAACUUUCCCGCAAGAAAUUAUCCCAUCUGUAACAAGGCCAGUCUCAUGGGCUACAGCUCACAAUUGGCAAGAAGAUAAUAAGAAACUUCCUAAUUCCUGUCUGGAGGAAAAAGGGCCUGGCUACCAGGAAACUAA